CACGUAGGGGGCAAGCGUUGUCCGGAUUCAUUGGGCGUAAAGAGCUCGUAGGCGGCUCAGUAAGUCGGGUGUGAAACCCUCAGGCUCAACCUGGGGACGCCACUCGAUACUGCUGUGGCUAGAGUCCAGUAGGGGAGUGUGGAAUUCCCGGUGUAGCGGUGAAAUGCGCAGAUAUCGGGAGGAACAUCAGUUGCGAAGGCGGCUCUCUGGACCAGCACUGACACUGAGGCACGAAAGCGUGGGGAGCAAACAGG
rnacentral:rRNA from 1 species